GUACAUGUCUACAUCAUAGCAUUAAUGCAUCAGAUCCCAUUAGAACUCCAUAAUUAAGCGUGCUCGAGCUAGAGUAGUAUUGGGAUGGUUGAUCUCCCGGGAAGUCCUAGUGUUUUACAUC
rfam:Picea glauca, whole genome shotgun sequence.